UCAGGAGGAGGAGGAGGUAGAGUCAGGAGGAGGAGGAGGUAGAGUCAGGAGGAGGAGGAGGUAGAGUCAGGAGGAGGAGGAGGUAGAGUCAGGAGGAGGAGGAGGUAGAGUCAGGAGGAGGAGGAGGUAGAGUCAGGAGGAGGAGGAGGUAGAGUCAGGAGGAGGAGGUAGAGUCAGGAGGAGGUGGUAGAGUCAGGAGGAGGUGGUAGAGUCAGGAGGAGGUGGUAGAGUCAGGAGGAGGUGGUAGAGUCAGGAGGAGGUGGUAGAGUCAGGAGGAGGUGGUAGAGUCAGGAGGAGGUGGUAGAGUCAGGAGGAGGUGGUAGAGUCAGGAGGAGGUGGUAGAGUCAGGAGGAGGUGGUAGAGUCAGGAGGAGGUGGUAGAGUCAGGAGGAGGUGGUAGAGUCAGGAGGAGGAGGAGG